GACGAACGCUGGCGGCGUGCUUAACACAUGCAAGUCGAACGGAAAGGCCCUGCUUUUGUGGGGUGCUCGAGUGGCGAACGGGUGUGUAACACGUGAGUAACCUGCCCUUGACUUUGGGAUAACUUCAGGAAACUGGGGCUAAUACCGGAUAGGAGCUCCUGCUGCAUGGUGGGGGUUGGAAAGUUUCGGCGGUUGGGGAUGGACUCGCGGCUUAUCAGCUUGUUGGUGGGGUAGUGGCUUACCAAGGCUUUGACGGGUAGCCGGCCUGAGAGGGUGACCGGCCACAUUGGGACUGAGAUACGGCCCAGACUCCUACGGGAGGCAGCAGUGGGGAAUAUUGCACAAUGGGCGGAAGCCUGAUGCAGCAACGCCGCGUGCGGGAUGACGGCCUUCGGGUUGUAAACCGCUUUCGCCUGUGACGAAGCGUGAGUGACGGUAAUGGGUAAAGAAGCACCGGCUAACUACGUGCCAGCAGCCGCGGUGAUACGUAGGGUGCGAGCGUUGUCCGGAUUUAUUGGGCGUAAAGGGCUCGUAGGUGGUUGAUCGCGUCGGAAGUGUAAUCUUGGGGCUUAACCCUGAGCGUGCUUUCGAUACGGGUUGACUUGAGGAAGGUAGGGGAGAAUGGAAUUCCUGGUGGAGCGGUGGAAUGCGCAGAUAUCAGGAGGAACACCAGUGGCGAAGGCGGUUCUCUGGGCCUUUCCUGACGCUGAGGAGCGAAAGCGUGGGGAGCGAACAGGCUUAGAUACCCUGGUAGUCCACGCUGUAAACGGUGGGUACUAGGUGUGGGGUCCAUUCCACGGGUUCCGUGCCGUAGCUAACGCUUUAAGUACCCCGCCUGGGGAGUACGGCCGCAAGGCUAAAACUCAAAGGAAUUGACGGGGCCCCGCACAAGCGGCGGAGCAUGCGGAUUAAUUCGAUGCAACGCGUAGAACCUUACCUGGGUUUGACAUGGAUCGGGAGUGCUCAGAGAUGGGUGUGCCUCUUUUGGGGUCGGUUCACAGGUGGUGCAUGGCUGUCGUCAGCUCGUGUCGUGAGAUGUUGGGUUAAGUCCCGCAACGAGCGCAACCCUUGUUCACUGUUGCCAGCACGUUAUGGUGGGGACUCAGUGGAGACCGCCGGGGUCAACUCGGAGGAAGGUGGGGAUGACGUCAAGUCAUCAUGCCCCUUAUGUCCAGGGCUUCACGCAUGCUACAAUGGCUGGUACAGAGAGUGGCGAGCCUGUGAGGGUGAGCGAAUCUCGGAAAGCCGGUCUCAGUUCGGAUUGGGGUCUGCAACUCGACCUCAUGAAGUCGGAGUCGCUAGUAAUCGCAGAUCAGCAACGCUGCGGUGAAUACGUUCCCGGG
rnacentral:rRNA from 1 species